rnacentral:rRNA from 1 species
AACGAACGCUGGUGGCAUGCCUAAUACAUGCAAGUCGAACGAGAAAGUCCUUCGGAGUGAGUACAGUGGCGCACGGGUGAGUAACGCGUAGGUGAUGUGCCUAUUAGUGGGGAGUAACACCGGGAAACCGGUGCUAAUACCGCAUGUUCUGAGUGAAAUUGAAAAGACUCAGCAAAGAGGGCUUCGGCUCUUGCUAAUAGAUCGGCCUGCGUAGCAUUAGCUAGAUGGUGGGGUAAUGGCUUACCAUGGCAACGAUGCUUAACUGGUCUGAGAGGAUGAUCAGUCACACUGGAACUGAGACACGGUCCAGACUCCUACGGGAGGCAGCAGUAGGGAAUAUUGCGCAAUGGGGGAAACCCUGACGCAGCAAUGCCACGUGAGUGAGGAAAGCCUUCGGGUUGUAAAGCUCUGUCCUAUAGGAAGAAUGGUAUUAUGGUUAAUACCCAUAGUAUUUGACGGUACUAUAGAAGAAAGCACCGGCU